rnacentral:misc_RNA from 1 species
GGAGGGACAUUACCGAGUUAUUCAACUCAUCAACCCUGUGAACAUACCUAAACGUUGCUUCGGCGGGAAUAGACGGCCCCGUGAAACGGGCCGCCCCCGCCAGAGGACCCUUAACUCUGUUUCUAUAAUGUUUCUUCUGAGUAAAACAAGCAAAUAAAUUAAAACUUUCAACAACGGAUCUCUUGGCUCUGGCAUCGAUGAAGAACGCAGCGAAAUGCGAUAAGUAAUGUGAAUUGCAGAAUUCAGUGAAUCAUCGAAUCUUUGAACGCACAUUGCGCCCGCCAGUAUUCUGGCGGGCAUGCCUGUUCGAGCGUCAUUACAACCCUCAGGCCCCCGGGCCUGGCGUUGGGGAUCGGCGGAGCCCCCCGUGGGCACACGCCGUCCCCCAAAUACAGUGGCGGUCCCGCCGCAGCUUCCAUCGCGUAGUAGCUAACACCUCGCGACUGGAGAGCGGCGCGGCCACGCCGUAAAACACCCAACUCUUCUGAAGUUGACCUCGAAUCAGGUAGGAAUAUCCGCUGA